UACGGAGGACCCGAGCGUUAUCCGGAUUUAUUGGGUUUAAAGGGUGCGUAGGCGGAUUAGUAAGUUAGAGGUGAAAGCUCGAUGCUCAACAUCGAAAUUGCCUCUGAUACUGUUAGUCUAGAGUAUAGUUGCGGAAGGCGGAAUGUGUGGUGUAGCGGUGAAAUGCUUAGAUAUCACACAGAACACCGAUUGCGAAGGCAGCUUUCCAAGCUAUUACUGACGCUGAUGCACGAAAGCGUGGGGAGCGA
rnacentral:rRNA from 1 species